rnacentral:rRNA from 1 species
AACGAACGCUGGCGGCAUGCCUAACACAUGCAAGUCGAACGAGACCUUCGGGUCUAGUGGCGCACGGGUGCGUAACGCGUGGGAACCUGCCCUUAGGUUCGGAAUAACUCCCCGAAAGGGGUGCUAAUACCGGAUAAUGUCUUCGGACCAAAGAUUUAUCGCCUUUGGAUGGGCCCGCGUUGGAUUAGCUAGUUGGUAGGGUAAAAGCCUACCAAGGCGACGAUCCAUAGCUGGUCUGAGAGGAUGAUCAGCCACACUGGGACUGAGACACGGCCCAGACUCCUACGGGAGGCAGCAGUGGGGAAUAUGGGACAAUGGGCGAAAGCCUGAUCCAGCAAUGCCGCGUGAGUGAUGAAGGCCUUAGGGUUGUAAAGCUCUUUUACCCGGGAUGAUAAGGACAGUACCGGGAGAAUAAGCUCCGGCUAACUCCGU